rnacentral:rRNA from 1 species
GAUGAACGCUGGCGGCGUGCUUAACACAUGCAAGUCGAACGAUGAAGCCCAGCUUGCUGGGUGGAUUAGUGGCGAACGGGUGAGUAACACGUGAGUAACCUGCCCUUAACUCUGGGAUAAGCCUGGGAAACUGGGUCUAAUACCGGAUAGGAGCGUCCACCGCAUGGUGGGUGUUGGAAAGAUUUAUCGGUUUUGGAUGGACUCGCGGCCUAUCAGCUUGUUGGUGAGGUAAUGGCUCACCAAGGCGACGACGGGUAGCCGGCCUGGGAGGGUGACCGGCCACAAUGGGACUGAGGCACGGCCCAGACUCCUACGGGAGGCAGCAGUGGGGAAUAUUGCACAAUGGGCGCAAGCCUGAUGCAGCGACGCCGCGUGAGGGAUGACGGCCUUCGGGUUGUAAACCUCUUUCAGUAGGGAAGAAGCGAAAGUGACGGUACCUGCAGAAGAAGCACCGGCUAACUACGUG